GGGCCGCUAGCUCAAUGGCAGAGCAAUUCCCUCUUAAGGAAAAGGUUGGAGGUUCGACUCCUCCGCGGCUCACCA
rnacentral:tRNA from 2 species